rnacentral:rRNA from 1 species
UGUAUUUAUUAGAUUAAAAACCAAUGCCCUUCGGGGCUCACUGGUGAUUCAUGAUAACUCCUCGAAUCGCAUGGCCUUGUGCCGGCGAUGGUUCAUUCAAAUUUCUUCCCUAUCAACUUUCGAUGUUUGGGUAUUGGCCAAACAUGGUUGCAACGGGUAACGGAGGGUUAGGGCUCGACCCCGGAGAAGGAGCCUGAGAAACGGCUACUACAUCCAAGGAAGGCAGCAGGCGCGCAAAUUACCCAAUCCCGACACGGGGAGGUAGUGACAAUAAAUACUGAUACAGGGCUCUUUUGGGUCUUGUAAUUGGAAUGAGUACAAUUUAAAUCCCUUAACGAGGAACAAUUGGAGGGCAAGUCUGGUGCCAGCAGCCGCGGUAAUUCCAGCUCCAAUAGCGUAUAUUAAAGUUGUUGUGGUUAAAAAGCUCGUAGUUGAACCUUGGGCCUGGCCGUCCGGUCCGCCUCACCGCGUGUACUGGCUCGGCCGGGCCUUUCCCUCUGUGGAACCCCAUGCCCUUCACUGGGCGUGGCGGGGAACCAGG